CCUAAAUCUCCCCUGGCGCAACUUGAGGCCAUUCCCCCUCAUCCUGUCACUAGUUACAAUGAUCUUAAAAGUCCCUUCCAGCCAUUCUAUGAUUCUAUAAUUCUAUGAUCCUGUCACCUCCCUUGGUCCAAUUCCAGUAUUGAACAAUUUUCUUGGAAAAAAAAAACAACAAACCUCCAAAUAUCUAACCAGAAUUUCUCAUGUCUUCUGCCUUCUUAGAUCUUCAUAUCAGGCAGUUGCAGACAGCCAUGAUACCUCCUUCUAGCCUUUUCUUCUUCAAAAUCUCUUAAAGAAAAUUAUGGUGUAUCCACUCUGACAGAUUGAGGCUGUUACAUUUCUGCCUAAUAUCAAGGCACCCAGGAACCUUUGGGUAGCCAGACUGUGACAUUACUCAUUUCUAUCCACCUUUUCAUCUGUUUUUACCAGCUACCCAUUCUCUUUCAGCAAUAUGAUUUUAAGGGAACCACAACUUUCAAUCCAGUUCCUAGCAUAUUUCCAACUAUUCACAGGAAAUUUCAGCAGCUAUCAGGAGCAAUGUUUGAAAAGCUGUGCCCACUGUUCUCAUGUUAUAAUCCUCUGCAUGUGGGUGCUCUCUUUUUGUGUACACUGGGUUGACCUCUGGAAAGAUUCCUGUGAACUUCAGUGAGAUUUGAGUCCAGCACUUCACAUCCAAUUUAGGAAGACUGAAAUCCAAGUACAUUCCCAGGAAAAAAGUUUGCCAUUGGCUCACGCACUGUCAGGAAUUUGAUCUUUUUGUGUCUAAGGCUUGUUAUGGCCUGGACUGCUCUACUCAGUACUGGGCCAGUUGUUUUAGCAGCCAGAAAUGGGAGUGAUUUGGGUAAAAUCUCAAGAUUCCUACAUAUCAACUACCAUGAUAUGUAAGUUCACAUGUUGAAAUCUCAACACUGAGGGUGUAUUUCAACAGUUUUGAGGGUGCAACACAAAACAACAAUGAAAGAAAAUUAGGAAAAAUAACAGAAUAACUGGAGGCUUGCGUAUGUCAAACCCACUAAGUAUUUUGCAUUCUACUUACUAAACAACAGCUGGAGACAAGAAGUUGAAUAGUCCAGAUAUUUCCUCACUGAUCUUGAAUAUAAAUCCAUUUUUACUCAUGAUAAUAUUACAAUUUAAUAUUCUAACACUAAUUUCAAGAUGAUUUGCAGGUGAGGCCAAUCAGUUCUUUUUAAGAAAUAUGUGGGCUCAGAUAUCUAAGGUGGUUGAGUAAUAUGCCAAGUAGGAUUCAUGCAGACUGACUGGGUAGGGCCUCAAAGCAGCAUUGCUGAUGCCAAAAUGAUGUAGAAUCCAAGCUUCAUGUCAGCAUUUCAGGUCUGGACCAAUAAAGCUGAACUUGUGUGGCUACUCCAUGUGUAUACAGCAGCAACCAUGCGUCACUGUAUAGGAUGGGUAUGCCUUAGGAUCUUCUUCCUGCUAGGUCAUUCCAUUCCUUUAUAAAUCAUAGAGAUAAUUGAAUAUCUAAGAUCUAGUUCAAUCAGAUGCAACAAGUAAGAAGAGAGAUCUACCUAGACUAGCUAGUGAGUCAUAUCUAUCAUUCCUUACCCAUGCAGAAUGGCACAGUUAGAACAAGAAGUUUUGAGGAAAUUUACCCCAGGUUAUCUCGCAGCCAUAUUAUUCAAAAGUACGUUGGAGAUGUGAGUCUAAUACCAUGCAAACAGCAAAGAGAAUAGCACAGCCCUUCCUGUCUUAGGUGAGUCCUCUAACAAAUGGUUAAGGCAGAAAUGGGAGAGAAGCCCAACCAUGACAGUGCUUUCAUUCUCCAGAUGUCAGUGUGAUAGGCACACUCUGUCAACCCCAGAAGGGCCUAUAUCAGAACUGAGGAGGGGAGUGGCCUCCCUGACAUGAGAACAGUGUGGGGCUUCAAUGCUACAAGGGAGAACCUGAGGAGCUUGUCAGAGGAAGCACCAAUGCCCAGGAAUGUGAGGUACUUAGAAGGUUGUGAUGAUGCUUGGUUGUGGGUAGCUAAAUCUGCCUGUGAAGUCAGUUUCCUCAUUUGGAAGGAGCUCUGUUUUUCAUAUCAACUGAUCAGUAAACAGAAUAUUAGAAUUAAAAUAUACUGCAUAGCACGUAAGUCUUCUGGGGAGAAAAGAAUAAUCUGUCUCAUAGUCUUCAAAACUUGUGCAGUUCUAGUUGAAUAAUAUUUAAAAUCCAUUAAUCAUUUAAUUGCACAUUUGUCUUUUAAAUUGAUGCAUAUUUUCCAACACCUUGUCAUGUAGUAGUUUUUUAUAUUUUUGAUAUAAGAAAAAAACCCUUAACUACUAAAGGCAAUGAUUUUAGAUAGUGAAAGAGAAAGAAAGAGAAAGUAGAAACAGCUCAUCAUUUCUCUGCCUGAAUAGGAAAGUAGUUCAGUCUGAUUAUCAUUUUAUCUGAAAGUGUUGCAGACUUCAGGCUACGGUGAACCCUGGAAACCCUGUUCAUUACACUUCAGUCUGGCAAACAGAAGCCUUUCUGUUCUCUUCAUUCAGAAAGGCUUACUUCAGAAUUAACAAGCUGAUAAAAUACGUAGCUAUGAAUUUUUAUAAGAAUCUGUGAAGGGUCACAUCACCAUGUUGUCAUAGUGACAAGAAGUGCAGAUGUCAAAUACAAAUCAGAAAGUGGUAUAUAUGAUGGUUUGAUUUUGAAAAAGAUUUUAUUAUAGCAGCGUUCAGGGAGCUUGGAUGUUCUUUAUUCCAACAGAUUACUUAGACUUCAGCGGUCAGAAACUCAGAUCAGAGAGCCACUGCACCCCUCAGACUGCUGGUUUCAGUGAAAAUUUUCACAGGUCAGGCCCUGAGAUAGGUGAUGGAGAGGCUGUACACCCCUGGUGGUACUGAAACUAAGUUGGAUGAAGCCUCAGAAAUCUGCUCAACUUCAAAUGUAACACAGAUCUGAGUGGGAAAUUGGACCAAAUAACUUCCAGGAAUCCUUUCCAACACCCGCAUUCAAGCUGGUUGUACCUUCAGGCGGAGCCUUUGCUACAGGUUGGACAACCUACUCAGUCUCCAUGGUGAAGAAGUAAUGUGGGUCUUCCGGCAGGAUUCUGAAUUUCAUCUCUCUUCUCUCCCCACCUGAAAACAGUGAUGGCUUCUAUAACUGAAGGACAUGGCUGUGUCCAGCAAGCUGGAAGGCAAAGGGAAGGUUUGUGGGACAUAUGGAGGGAAGUGUCCCCAUUUCCUUCAUAUCUGUUACAACAUCAGGUCAGUUUAUACAAAAAGAUGCAAAGGUUUGCCUGUUGUCACCAAGCUGGUUUUACAGCACUGGGUCAGCGAACACAUCUGGUAAGCGUGCCAAAAUGGGAUGCAGGUUUGUGUGGACUAUGUCAGGUCUGUCCAGGGGAUGGAUUGCAGAGGCAGCACAUUUCCCUGAAGCCACCUGCUCCCAGAUUGCUGUCUGUACUUGACAAAAAGAACAUACUUCUCAGAAGUGCAGAACAGGGAGAAUGCAUUUAUUUGCCUAGUUUCAUAUUUUCCUCAGGCAAGAUUUCAUGACACCACUGACAGCUACUGAAAAAGCACAGGUCAGGGUUACUUGAAGGUACCCGGACUCCUGCAGAUACUUUGGGGUUUUUUGCAUAGGUAAAAUAAAAGGGUGAUUGGAGUCGUAUAAACAGCAAUAGUUUACUCCCUUCUAUUCUGGCUUCUUAUAGUAAUCCUUACAAACAGUCUAGAAAAUACUGUGGAGAUGGGAUUUUUAACAAAAACAUGUUGAAUUAGAGCACUUUAUUUCAACACUACAUGCUCUCCCCAGGUUUUUAUCAUUUGUGCACUGUGAAGCAACUUAUUACCACACUGGAAGCUGAAAGCUGGCUAGUUUGGACCUACAUUUCUGUAAACAUACAACUUUUGUUUUCUAACCUGCAGCCCCCUGCUUUUAGCUGUCACACUCCAGCUAAAAUAUCCCUGGUGUGAAGGCUGACAGUUGCCUUCUACUCUCCCCAACAUGUCUGUUUGUACUGCUUUCUGUGCAGGGCCUCUAACCCAAAGCAGACUAAUAGGUUGCAUGACAGCUUAUUCUGGUCCUUAUUGUAGUUACUCACUAGAACACAUACGUACACUUUUCUCUGCCUGCUGUCUGAACAGGUAUAAUUUCCUGUCAAAGGCAAUGCUGACAGUGAGCAUGCAGGGUCUACUAGCUUUAAAUUAGGCACUACUUAAAAAUAUGUUAGUGCCCAUGGAAGACAGAUGCUCUAUCACCAGUAGACAUUUGUUGAUUAUGGUCAACUCCCAUGGUCCACCUGACUGAUGUACUUCUAAACAUUUUAGAUGUCUAACAUUUAAAGCUAAGACAGAACUGACUAAAUGCAUAUGGAGCACGGUACGUGUAGGAGAACUGCUCUUACAUCAUUCCUGGUUAUGCCUAUGCAAUUUUAAGACUUUUUGAAGUUCUGCUGGUAUCCAAGCUUUCAAGAGAAAAUAGCAACAUCAUUGUUAUUAUUUUCAGCUAGAUAAAUUACAAAGGACAUACUAAAAGAUAAACGUACAUCCUCUUCCCUCCCAGACUGCUGACUUCUCAGUAUAAAGCUAAUCUGGCCAAACUUUUGUUUGAGUUAAGAGACUGACAAAUCUAUGUUGAGUAUUUUUCACAUUUACAGUUGUCUUUCACCUACUAGCAUCCAGCAGUUCAUAUCUACUUUCUUUGAAUUCCCUAAAUAGGUACAGAAGGAAAACCCUUCCUUCCAUUUUUAAGCUAAACAGCAGAAGUGCAAGUCAUAGUCCCAGAAUGUUUGUUUUAUCUAUGUUAAAUGUGUACCAAACUGAGAUCAGAGACUUAUUUGGGAUGAGGAAUUACGGUAGCACUCAAAUCUCAGUCACCUACAACCAGCUCAAGGCCUGGGCUGAGUGCCCCCAGCUGGCAGAAAAAAUCAUCAUUUGGGCUGCUUCAGCCUUCAAGUAUCCUGAGUAAUAGGAAAUGGAGGGCAUUUAGCAUAUAAGACAAGAGAGCUCUGACUCUGAGUUAAGGGACAGCCGUAUGGAGGCUUGCCUCUUAAAGUGUUGUAGUUCUUCAUGUCUAUAGAAAUGACAAAAAUUAAUUACUUUACUCAGUAUUGGCUUAAUUUUCCACUCAAUAAGCUAGCCGAGCAGAGCCAGUGUGCUCUUCUAGGCUUUCAUUUCUAAUUAAAACUAAUGAAUUGUCAAGAGAACAACAGAUAAGUCAUUGAUUGAGUCAUAUACCAGAUUUCUAAGCAAACAGGCUAUUUGGUUCCCUCUGGGAAAGAGUUCAGCAGCAUGUCAUUCAUAGAGGGUGUUAUAUUGACAGGUGAUAUUGAUAAUUUUGUUAUGCAACAUUUAAUGCUAAAAAUGUUUAAGAUGCUGUCAGAGCAGAAGCUGAAAUCUACGUAAUGUUAUAUUUCCUGUCAAUUCAGAGAGAGAAAACUUUGUAACCACUUAUGUUCACAGUUUGAAACUCAGCAAUGACAGCUAGCUCACUUUAGUCAAGAAGGAUGUGUAACUUUUCCAUUGAAAGCAAAAAGAGCACAAUUUGAGACUCCACCAGGGAAGAUUUGUUCUUGUGACUGGUUUGGAUGAUAUAGAGACUACUUUUUGCUCCGUGUUUUGUGUUUUGUGUUUUUAAAUAUCCAUAGCUUAUGCAUAUCUUUCAGAAUUCAGCACCAUGCCCUAGCAAGUUAAACUGCUGAUCCUCCACAAAGAGAAAAUAUUGUAAGUAGGUGUCAGAAGUGGAGGAAAGAGAAGUGUGCCAUCUGGAAUUUCCACAGAUUCUAAAAUCAGGCCAAUCCUGCAGCCUCUAUUCAAGGGAAAAUAAUCCCAUUGGUGCCAAAAUGACUUUUUUUAGUCAGUAAGGUCUUAGUUGGACCGUAUUUUAAAAGUCUAAGCAACAAGAUUAAUGGUAAAAAAAAAGAAAAAGAACUUCAAAGACUUUGAAGUAGUCAGUUCCAUACUUGUCGCUGACAAAAUCGUUGCAGGUUUUAAUGCAAGGCUGUAUUUAAAUGCAUCUCUCAUGACAAAUUCUUAAAACAGAAGUAUGAGGGCAGAGACGCAAUACAGGAUGGACUCAGAGUCCAAAAGGAAUCUCUCCUCCUUUGUGGCUGGACUGCAACACCUCUGGUACUCCCAGGGUGAUGCAAAGUAUGUCAUGAUUCAGUUUAAAAAGUCCAUCUCAUUGCAGGAAAGAUAAAGUGUUGCGUGGCAAGAAACCCACUUUAGUUUCUGUUGUGGUUCCUUAUGGUCCAAAUUCUCAAGCAAUGUUUGGUUUGAUCUUUUGUAUGCAGUUCUGCAUCUGAGAAGAGUUGUUUUCACCAUGAACUGCCGACCAUUAACAGUGGGGGCUUGGGGACACAAAUUCUGUCUGCAUAUCUUGACAAGUGCAGCUGUUAGUUGAUGCAAUAUUUUGAAAGAAAAAUUGAAAUCUCAGUAGUGUUCGUAGUUUUUGCACUGAGAAUCUGAAAAGCCUUGAUUUUCUUGGGUACAGAACCAUUAUUCUUAUGUAUAUUUAACUACUUUAUUUUGCUAGAGUAUAAUAUAUAUAUUCCUGUGUCCUAGUGAUCCUUGCAGAGAUCUUUUGGGUUUCCUUUCUGCUUUAUUCAUUCUUCCUUCUUUUCUGUAUUUACUGUUCCUUAAUCUUUAGCUUUGUUGCUGCUGUUGUCACAGGAAAAGAAAUUUUGGAAGAAUACAUCAAUAUAGCCCUUUAUUGAAGGCGGAAGGACAGAGAAAAUGCAAAUGAACAUGAACAGUGUCUCAUACUGGGAAAGGAACAACCAAAACCAAGACUUGGAUACAUUCAUUAUUCAUUGUUGGACUAUGAAAUACCAACAUGAUACAGCCAUGAAAGAGCUUACUGAAGCUAAAGGACAACACUGUCACGAGAAUAUACAGGUGCAUGGAAUUUGCCUGAACCAGCAAGUUGAGUAGUUCACAGAGGGGGAUGCUCUUCUUUCAAGAAUGUUUUGGAAUCAUUUCCAUUACGCAGAAGCAUGUCAUCAGAAAAACUUACACGAAGCCAGUGCCACAAGUUCUCUGCACCAAAUUUCGCUUUUUGGUCACCCAUUCUGAUGUCAAAAGGGCAAAUGGAAAACACAAGGAGCUUCUUGGUUGUGACAACUGCCUCAUGCUGCUAGGCACACUGAUGUAUUUUGAACCAUAUGAUGCAUGUGUGUGGCACAGUGCAGUUUUGUGGGUCUGCUCCUGAAGUUACAGCUCUGGGUCUUUUAAAGUAAUGGGAUAUUUGUGACAGUAUGUGGGAGAAACAAGCACCAGAAAUCUGAUUUUCUAGUUUUUUUGUUGGGGAGGUGGGGAAAGGGGGGAGCGAAAGAGGAGACAAAGGAGGACCAGGUAGUCAUAAUCUGAAAGGUUUUUUUUUCUUAAACUUUAGGUAUCCUAUGUGAGAUCUGAGGAAAUUUUCAAUAAUUCAGUCAGGAGUAAUUGGAUUGGUGAUGAACAAGGAUAUUUGUGUCUUGUUUUGCUUCUUUGUCCCAGGCUAGGCCUUAAAAAUGGAAUAGCUUAUUGACUGCCAGUGUGGAAACGAGGCCCAUCAAAAAACUGUUUUUUUCCCCCUAGAAAACUUCUAAUUCCACUUCCACUUACCAUUCAGCUCUAUGACUGAGCCAUUAGCAAGAACUUACUUUAAAAGAACCAACAUUCAGUUUUGGCUGGGUCUAGAGGAGGAAAAUGUCCUGAUGAGCCAUUAACAUCCAUGGUACCAGCAGAAUUUACACUAUCUGAUGAGCUGCCUUCUACAGUCUGCCCUCAGCACUGUUUUCUUUCUUAUCCUUCCUUCCAUUUCCCGUGUUAUUGAAGCUUGGCUUGCGCAGGGUCCAGCUCUCCCCUGGGAAUCUGGCUUUGCUGCGCUGGAGACACCAACAGAGGAUUCAAGUUGGUGUCAAUUCAAGUUUUGCUUGUUCUGAAGCUUCUUCCAUCUAUGUCUUCUUAAUGCAUAGCAAGGGAUGCUGGCCAACAAGAGCCCUGCUGGCCAUGCUGGCUGCAAGCUGCUCAUACCUGGAGAAGGAAAUAAGAGCCCUGUGUGUCUCCCCAGUCUAUAGGUGCAGUCAGUUGUUUUCAGUCCAUUCAGCAUCACACAGACACACUGCUCCAGGGAAUUCAGUUUCAUUUGUAAGUCUGGGGAUUAGCCAACUGUAAAUACACCAGACCCAGCAGUCAAGCUAACUGCUCAAAGGCAAUGUUGCAUUAUCGCAGCAUUAAUUCACUAGGCUCAUCAGCAUUUUAAUCACAAGAUCCAGGUAGCUUUUCUGAGCUAUGGGAUUAUUUAAGCACAGUGGGAUUUCUUAUAUCUAUUGCCUUGAUUUGCUUUAUUUAGUAAGCAGAUAUUCUUCAGCAACAAUAGAUUUAUUUCCUACAGGUGCCAAAUGUUGCCAGCCACAGAAACUAGUGUUUCUGAGGAGGAGCUGUUCCUCCUGGCUGGAGCAUGUUGUAUCACAUCAAGGUCAAAACUGCAAUGGAUUUCAUAGAUCUGCAGUGCAGAGUCCAGCAAGGUGGAGGAGUAAAUAAUGAUAUUAAGAAAUUAAAAACAAAAUCAUGUUUUCUUUUGGCCUGGGAAAAUGUUUCCCAGUUCAGGCAGUAGCACCCACCCUUUGCACCCAAUCUGCAGGCUGAAAGCACCCAGUUUGGUGCAGGAGCACAAGGGAUGGAAGGGGCAAGGCCAGGUCUGAUCAGCUGCUGCCAGGUGAUGCUCAGUGCCGUGGCACCAUUGCAUCUGGUGCCACAUAUCUACUAUUAAGCUGGGGAGGAGUGUGGAGAACAAUGAAGAUUCACUGUGGUGCCAAGUACACAGCGACUUGUCCGGAUACAGGACCACUGAGGAAAGGUAAAACAAAUCAAUAUAAUGAUGUGUAUCAUCUGGAUGAGGCCAUGGAAUCAGGCAGGGUGCAGCUGAGGGUGCUGAGGGCAAAGGGUAACCAACAGCACAGGAUUUUACCUAGUCCUUUUCACAUUCACAUGACCAAUUAAUCUGCUAUGGAGAACUGAAUCCUCUGUACUUGCAGAUAUUUGCAACCAGGUGUCACAUGGCCCUGAACAACCUGAUCUAAGUCAUGCUGCUCUGGAGCUCCUCCUACCUGCAAUUGUUCUAUAAUCCUAUACCUCAGGAUAAUAAAUAGGUAACAGGUUAAAAUAGAUAAUUGGCAAUAUUUUUUAAGGAGAUAUUGUUAUGGUCUCUAUGGUUACAGAUACUGACAAGAACCUUGAAAGGUGGCAGGGUUCUUCCUUCAGUUAGUAACGCCAUUGAAGGGAAAACUUCACAUGAUCUCUUUCUUAAAAGACAGAUCUCAUUCUGUGUUUCCUUCUAAGAGAAUAAGCUCUUGUUUGCAUUUUUAUAUGUUUAUAUUUUAUGGCUCUUCACUGAAAUGCUAUACUAGAUGCUGAUAUACUACACUAAAUAAAUGUUAGAAUUAGAAUUCUGGCAUGACAAUAGUUAAUCUGUGAGCUCAGUGUUUAGAUUUGCUAGAAAAAUGGUUUCUUAGGGAAAAAUCAACUUUACUGCAUCUAUUUGAGUAAUAGAUGUGAAGUGGCCAGACCUCUCUCUUCGGCUUUGACAAAAACUAUCACGAUUUCCCUUCCAUGCUACUAAGGACAGUUCACGGCUUGGCUACAGUCCAGUAGCACCAAGCUCCACCAGGUUCAUGAUGGACUCAUUAAGUGCUUUUUUUUUGUUGUUAAACAUUGUAUUACAUACCUUAUAUAUUUAAUCUGUCCCUACUGUUCCUCUUUUUAGAAAAAUAGACAUACCUUUAGCCUCCAGAUCUUUAUAGAGAUGAAAAAAUUCAACAGACUUUGCACAGAGGAAACCCAUGUGAGCUGAUUGCAUGACCAUGGAUGAAGGAUGAGCAAGCAAGCUGCACUAUGAAGACACAAUGCUUCCAUGGGCACACAAGCAGGAACGAGUCCCAUGAAGACAAGACUGAGCACGGAGCUUAUUGCUGUUUCUGAAACUCCAAUAGUCAAUGGUCAGUUAUCUCUGUAUAAAUGAGAAUUGUUUUUCCCAUCUACAUGGCACACCUACUCAUCUGUACUCAUCCUCAACAGGAAGAGUGAAUGUCUGACCUGUCUAAAAAUGUGAAAAAAUUCCUCUCCUGUUAUGUUCCUUUAACUGAAGUAUUUGCUUUUAUACAGGUUUAAUAUCCAGCAAUCUCAUUUUUUUCUUUAUUGCACAUUUUCUGACUGCCUUAGUAUACAUCAAUGACAAGACUUUAUUUAGAAGUAGAGAUGCAAAAAAUUGGUUAUUUUAUUUCUAACCCAGAAAUUCUAACCUCAUCAUUGCCAUCGCAUCCAUCUAUCUCAGGCUUUAAAGUGGUGCAAGACAAAGUCCACCAGAGCCAUGUUCAAAAUCUUACAGCUGCACACAGUUCUGUUAUGUGAGAGUACACAGGUAGUCUCAGUGGUGGUCCUUGUAGUAAAGAGAAGGAGAUGCCAAACUGCAGCAAGAACAGCUCAGCUUCUGGCAAACAUGAGUGGGAAGGUGCAGACAGCUUUGGAGACCAGGUGCCAGAAAGGUUGCUCAGGCAUCCAAGCCCUUUUAUUUCUGACUAGACUUUUGAAAUGAUGCUUUCCUUUGUUUCAUUCCACGUUCCCAUGCCACCUGGAAGGCUGUGAGAGCUGUUCUGCAUCCUCUUCAUUGAAGGUUUGGCAGCAGCAGGUUUUCAGCCCCCCAGGAACCAAGGCAGAGAAAGGCAGAGGGGAAGAGAAGGAAUUAAUGGUGCAUAAUCAUUGUAGUAAAAAAAAAAAAAAA